AAAUAAAAUGAGUAAAUAUUGAAACAAAACCCAUAAUUUGGAAGUUAAAAUGUGUCAAAUGUACUGAUAUAUAUGUGUGUGUGUGUGUGUGUGUGUGUGUGUGUGUGUGUGUGUGUGUGUGUGUAUAUAUAUAUAUAUAUAUAUAUAUAUAUAUAUAUAUACACACAACGAUCAGCCACAACAUUACCACCUGCCUAAUAUUCUGCAAGUCCCCCUUGUGCCACCAAAACAGCGCCAACCCGUAUCUCAGAAUAUAUAUAUAUAUUAGUAUUAUUUUUCCUAGGAUCAUCAUGGACAUUAACUGGCAAUGGAAGCAUGCCAGCUAUUGGAAGACAAAAUUAUGACGACAUUGUUCAAAGGUCAAGUGAUGGUUUAAAUUACAGUAAGUAAUUAAAUUUAUUUGCACAAGCAUGUCAAUCUUCUAAACAGAAGUCUUUACAAUCUGACAAGAACAGAUUUCCAGCUUUAUGUCCUCAAUAAAAGAUGGUCAUUUGUUGCCACCUACUGGCAUAUUGAUGUAAUCAACAGAAAUAUUCACUAAAUAUAUCAGUGAACAAAUCUGUAAAAAAUCUUUUUAAUGAAUACAUUCAAAAGACUUGAGGGUCACUGGGAUGAACCAGAAUCCCCACCACAAUCUUUAUGCAGAGCUCUCAAACUGAUUUGGAGCGGCAUGAGCACAAACAUGUGGAGUGAUGCAGUGAAGCAUCGAGGACUGGAACUAAAUAAUGUGUAAUGUAAUUUUACACUGAUCAGCCAUACAUUAAUCAGUGUGAGUGCUCUUGUAUUGUUUCAUGUACUGUACAGCAUGUAUAGAUAUAACACUAUGUUUGACAUUUUUAAUUUUACAGUGACCAGCUAUUCCACAUGUACAGGAUGCUUCACUGGACCUCUUCUCAUCAUAAAUAAAACUGUCCAGUCAUCAGUCAGGCUGUCUGAGCUGCCAGUAAGGAGAGGGAGACAAUAACUUUAGUAUUUUAGGUUUUAAGGUUGUAACGUUUAACAUUCUUAUUUAUUUUAUUUUUUAUUUUUAAGUUAUAAUUCAUAAAGGAAUAUUGUGGGUUCAUUUAAGAUUAAUCAGCUGCAUUUGUAACAAUAUUGAUUAUCGCACAAAAUAAUUUCUUUAAAAAAAAAUUUUUCUAUUAAAAGUUGUGUAUUAUUUGAGCUGUUAAGUUUAAAUCAACAAUUUUAUGGUCCUUUUAGGGUUUACCGCGUUACAUCAUCGUGGCAACAAACUUUACACAAAAAAGAUUAAUAAGCGAUUUGAUCACACUAAAAUCAUGUUAACAUGCAUAUUGUUCACGUCUUGUGGCUAUACUUUUGAAACAGUAUUGUUUACUGAUUGGCCCAAUUCACUUCCAUUGUAAGUGCCUCACUGUAACCCAGAUUUUUGCUUCGAAAAUCAAAAUUAAUUUCUGUGGUUAUCAACGUUGUGCUACAAAUGCUGUUGAUUGAACUUCCAUUGAACCCAGAAUAUUCCUUUAAUUUUAUCUAAUACUCUACAUGUAGUACAAUUACAAUAAUCACUAUACCACUGUAAUAUGUAUUAAUAAAGUUGUUGACCUAUGACCCUGUUGCCUGUGUUUUACUCUCCAAUGUUGAA